GACGAACGCUGGCGGCGUGCUUAACACAUGCAAGUCGAACGGAAAGGCCCUGCUUUUGUGGGGUGCUCGAUUGGCGAACGGGUGAGUAACACGUGAGUAACCUGCCCUUGACUUUGGGAUAACUUCAGGAAACUGGGGCUAAUACCGGAUAGGAGCUCCUGCUGCAUGGUGGGGGUUGGAAAGUUUCGGCGGUUGGGGAUGGACUCGCGGCUUAUCAGCUUGUUGGUGGGGUAGUGGCUUACCAAGGCUUUGACGGGUAGCCGGCCUGAGAGGGUGACCGGCCACAUUGGGACUGAGAUACGGCCCAGACUCGUACGGGAGGCAGCAGGGGGGAAUAUUGCACAAUGGGCAGAAGCCUGAUGCAGCAACGCCGCGUGCGGGAUGACGGCCUUCGGGUUGUAAACCGCUUUCGCCUGUGACGAAGCGUGAGUGACGGUAAUGGGUAAAGAAGCACCGGCUAACUACGUG
rnacentral:rRNA from 1 species